GAUUUUACUUUUAUGCAUUUAUGAUCUUCUUCUUUUCUUUUUCUUUUUCUUUCUUUCCUUUCUUUCUUUUUAAUCUGUAAAUGGGAAAUGCUGCAGCUGCAUUUGGUGGAGGUUUGCUUCCUGGAAUAAGUGGUACAAAUGACAGGUGCACCAUCCUUGUCUGCAAUCUGGAUCCUGGCUGUGUUUCAGGGAUUCAAGCAUUUGAAAUGAAGGCAAUUGUUGCAGGUGACUGGAAUGGUGCUGGUGCCCACACAAACUACAACACCAAGUCCAUGAGAGCCAACGGUGGAAUCGAUGUUAUCAUUAAGGCCUUUGAGAAGUUGCACCUGCGCCACAAGGAGCACAUUUCUGCAUAUGGGGAGGGUAAAGAGAGAAGAUUAACAAGCCACCAUGAAACCACCAACAUCAACACGUUCUCAUGGACGGUUGGAUUCACUUCUUUCAAAGACAAGAGACUUCUUUCAAAGUGGGGAUUAUGUUCUUCUAGCGAACAUGUAUGCAAGUGCUGGCCAAUGGAACAAAGUGACAAGAGUGAGAGAGGCAAUGAGAAAUAGAGGAGUUCAGAAAUUGGAGCCAGGUAACAGCCUCAUAGAGCUACAUCCAACAACUUAGCUUGAAUUAAAAUUUUCAAGGACUGUUGUGGAUGCAUUUCUUUCGUGUAGCAGAUUUUCUAUGUUAUUAGACUCCCCUCUUCUUUUUCUAUACUUUUCUCUCCCAACUUUUCUUUUUCUUCAUUUUCUUUCUCCAUGUGUAUGUCUAAAGUCUCACCACCAUUUUCUAAAUGGUGCAAAACUAACACUUGACUCCCCUUGCUCAAGACCUGACAAAUGACUUUUUUUUUUCUUUUUUUCUUUUUAAAUUUAUGGGCAGUGAAAAUUGUAAUGAUGAAGAAAUUCCAAGUAUCGCAUGGUUAGCCCAUUGUGGGUGUGGUGGGCUCCAUUGUGGAUGGGGAUGCCCUAAGUUCUUGCAAAUUGGAAGAAAUAAAACAACUGUUUAGGAAAAAAGGCUAUAAAAGGCUAAAGAUUGGAAGGCUAGGAUCUUCUGAUGUGAAGAUUUUGAGCCUCUUCCUUGCACUGUAUAAAGAGCUUGUUGAGGCUGAUGUGGUUGUGUGCUUGUGUCAUCAAACCAUCAGAACUUAAGUGGAUUCAUGGCCUUGAUGGAGACUAGGUGCAGAUUGACUUUUUUAGAUCUUGGAAAUGAACCUAGAAGAUGAAGCUGAGGAAGAUGGUGCCAAUGUUGAUCUUGACUCGUGAAGGGGAAGUGUGUCGUUCUAUAAACAUCUACAAGCCCAAAAAUUAACGGACCUGUCGGAUGCACCUAGCGCCAGAUUGAUCGAUGGCAUCUUGCUCACAAAAUUUGAUACUAUUGUAGAUAUUUUUAGAUAAAUGAACCUAGUUGCAGUCUUAAGACGAGCAUACCUCUCUGCUUAUGUUUUUCUUUG